GCCACUGCUAUUGGGGUUCGGCUAAGCCAUGCGAGUGGAGGGCGUCCCGCAAGGGAUGGCCCCGCAGACGGCUCAGUAACACGUUGUCAACCCACCUUAGGGUGGGGGACAACCUCGGGAAACUGAGGAUAAUCCCCCAUAGGCGGGGGAGGCUAGAAUGCGCCCCCGCUGAAAGCUCAGGCGCCCUAGGACGGGACGGCGGCCUAUCAGGUAGUUGGUGGUGUGACG
rnacentral:rRNA from 1 species